GGAGGGAGCACAGGCCAAGGGCCCCCGCCCCGAGCGGCCUGGCCCGGGAUGGCUCAGCAGGAAGGCUCGGCUGGCCUGGGCCGGCCUCUCGCCCAGAGCCGAGUGCAGAGCACACCGGGCCGCUGGCGAACCCGGCGGGCACCAUCUGUGAGCCUGAAGGGACGGUGUGGCUUGUGCGCUCAGGACCCGCUCACGGUAAUGUCUCUUUUUAGCUGCCGGUUCCUUCUGAACGAGUUGAUUUUGGAGGUUGUUCUUUUGCAUGGCUAGGUUGCUUCAUGCAAUCUUGAGCCCCUCCCAGCAGAUAACAUUCCUGAGGCCACCGGCAUUCCUUAGCCUCUAGGCCCAAACACCUAGAGGAGAAGCGCUCCAGACAGUGGAAGCUCCCCCGCAGCACAAAUCAGGGUCCACGUCCUCCCCAGCACCUGUGGACCAUCUCUCUUCAGAAGCCUGGUGUGCAGGAAACUCAUUACCCCUCGUCUGACGUCCAGAGAGGGCUGCCACCAGCCUCCUGGGCAUGGGGCGUGUGGUCCAGGACCUCCCCUGCCCUGAUUCACCACCUCCAGGCCUCCACCGGGGAGCAGACGGGACUUGUGUGAGCCUGCGGGCCAUGGGCUCAGGCCGUGACAGGCCAGGCUGCAGAUGCCGGGCCCUCCUCCGUCAGACACCUCAAAGAGGACACAGGACACUGGCUGCAUUGGAAAAAGACAAGUAGAUGGGGGCAUCCCCCUCCUGGGGACGGCGUGAGAGGUCAGGUGGGCCCGUCCGCCGUGGGCACAGGGACAGGUCGAGGUGAAGGUGUGAGGAACGUCGCCCUGCGUUACCUGCUGGUGGCAGAGGCUGGAGCCGGGUGGCAGCCGUCUCUGAAGGGCUGGUAAGGACGCAGGCACAGUGCCUCGAAGGACCCCAGCACGGCUCCAUUAGGUACAGUUUCUGCUCCAGAACAUUAAUCCGUUUUAAUUAGGGGCCCACAGUCCAAAGGGAUUCCACAAGGAGGUCUGGGCAGGUGGGGCACAGGCAGGUGGCCGGGCUGGGCAGUGGGAGGGGUGGCAGGAGGAGGGGAAGAGGCAGCCAUGGUGCCGGGAGCCCCUCAGGUUCCAGUCCUCGUGCACCAGCGGUGGCGCCGGCGGCUGGGGGGUUCCCGGCCCCCGGGGCUCAGAGCUGUGUUUGCAGCGAGCCCAGCCCACUGCGGCCCCUCACUUGUGAGUCUGUGUUGAUACAGAGGCGAGGGUGGGUCAGGAGGGCCUCAGCCUCUCUCCUGUGCCUUCGGGGGCCCCUGCCCGCCGAGCUCAGAGCCAGAGGGGCACAGAGGGUUUGGAGAUCACGUUUCAGAGGCAGCCCAGGCACUGUUUCUCACGUCCCCACCGUCCGUCCCUGCUCUUCUAACAAGUGUUCAGGCUGCCGGUUGGGGCCUCUGUUCACAGGACGGUCCCAACAACCCAUGACGCGCUGCCCUGCAGGGUGUGACUGGUGAGUUUCAGGUGUAGACCCUGCCUGGCGGUCCUGGGCUGCACCCACCUCAGGAGCGCCACCCACCCACCCACCGGACUCCUUUCUGUUCCUGACCUGCAAGUCCAGAUGCUACGAUUCUCAAAGUUGUGUUUUUCUGAAAACCUACAGAGAACGCUUACAAGUGAGGAGGAGAUAUUAUUAUGCGUGAGGAAUCUAGUUUUGAAACAAAAUAACAAAUCCCGUAUGUGGGCUCCGCCCCAUCCAGUGUCCUUGGAUUUCUUGACGCUGAAUAUCCCGCUGUCCCCUGCCUCCGUGACAUCCCUUCUGUCUCCCAGGGUCCUGCCGUUCGACUCUCUGCUGGAUUGGAUUGCUGUGUCCUCUUCACCGGUGGCCCCCAGCCUGGCCUCUUCCCACCUGUCCCUCCCUUACAUGGCUGUGUCUCCAGUCUUCCCUCCUUUUGGGAGUCCAUGUACAACCUCCAUGGUGACGUCCCCCAGGGACGUCUCACCCGCACCUCUUUCUUGAGCUUGUGCCGCUCAGAGGGCAUUUUCUCCUGUGUUGCCCCCGACCCAACCGGUCUGAAGCCAAGAUCAGACUCCUUCCCUCCCAAGCAGUGAGUUUCCAACCAACGGAUCCACCAUUGCCUCCAUCUCCUGGGCCGCAGGGCCUUCAUCUACAAGUGUUUAUUAAGUGCUUAACCCUGCAAACCGCUGCCGUGCAGUGGGCAGCAAACCCAGACACAGCCUCUGCCGGAUGGAGGUUACGCUCUACUGGGAGAGGCAGACGCUCGUCAAAUAAUUACUUAAGAAUAUGCAAAGUAAACUGUGGGAAAUGCUCCGAAAGAGAGGCUCGUGACCCUGCUAGGAGGCCAGGGAAGGCUUCCCCGUGGAAGUGAGGCUGGAGCUGAGUGAAGGAUGAGGCCUGACCAGGCAGGAGGCGCUGAGACCAUCCCGGCGGCUGUGCACGCCCAGCAGUGGAAGGUAGGGCAGAGGAUUCUGGAGGGGGCGUGUGAACGGUCGGGGGGAGAGGUAGGAGCUGGGACCACGCUGACGCCCAGCAGUCUGGCUGCAGAGAGGGGCCCGUUUGUGGCGUGCUAGGUGCAGCCUGGCACCAGGCUCUGCCACGGCGCCAGGCUGCUUACAUCCACUCUGGUGUGUGCACCGACUCAUCAAGCUCACCCUUCUUUCAGUCGAGAUGCUCUUGGUCGGGCCCUUUCCCAACAUGGAGCCGUGUGGGCAGCCGUGUGGGCAGAGCCAUGCCGCAGGACCAGCUCACCUGUUCUGUUCAUUGGCCUGGAGACUUUGGGCACACAGGCGCCGAGCCGCAGGCCUCAACAGCAGUAGAGGCAGUAUUGUUGACUUGCUGUGAGGUCGAAGGUCACAGCUCACACGAGCUCGGGGGUGAUGCAGGCUCGGUGUCUGAGGGGCGGCGGUGGCUCGUACGAAGAGAGAUUGGGUUUGUGUCUUGUCCUGGCCUCGCAAAGUAAAUUCCACGUUGACUUUAAAACGUUAGCGCAGUCAGAAGCCCCUGAGGUGGGGGACAGAGGACACAGUCGUGGGCGGGCUGGAGGGCCACAGGGGAGGAGAUGCCCCCGAGAGCCUGUCACUCCUAUCCGCAGCAGCUCCCCGAGGGCCCUCCUGCCCGGGCGGGGCUGCCUGUUUCCAGAGUGCCCGCCCUCAGCACAGGGCCGUCCAGUGUCCAGCAAGUACCAGGAACUGUCCGCCACAGCAUCCCCCGGGGCUGCUGUCGCCCUGCUUCCAGGAACCGCUGGUUGUGCGACUGCAAAACUGCGGUGCCGGCAAGCUGGCGUCCUCAGAAAGGCGAGCGGAGAAGCUGUGCUGCCAGCCGCCCGCUGCCCGGGCCCGAGAGUGCUAACAGGCGUCUGACACUCGCCCCUGGGCUCAGCGGUCCUGUGUGCCCUGUUCAGGAGUGCCGGGACCCUGGUUGUCCCACCAAAAAGCCCUCGAGCUGAAACAACACAGCUGGGAUCACAGUUUUCCACCUCUCCAGAUCGCUGCUGGAGCCUGUGGAAAAUUUUAGGCCUCUGGAGGUUCACCCUCACGCCCCCCAGGACCCUGCUCAGGGAGCCCGAGGGAGCCGUGAUAAGGUGUCCCCAUCAGCCUACAGGAACGCCACCUGCCCUGAGCCUCCCCAGCCAGAGGGGUUUCCACAUGGCCCCCCUUCCCUGCCCACACGCCGCCCACAGCUAGUUCCCUAAGAGAAAGGGCCUCACAGCGUCUUGCUUCAAAGGACGGAAAUCCUAAGGGAGCCUCUACCGGCACCGGCUCGGCCUUAGGGAGCACGUGCUCUUCCAGGCCCUUUGCAGACAGCGCUCGUUCAGUCUUCACAGCAACUCCACGAAUGAGGAACCGAUACAUCCAUCUGGAGAGGAGUAACCAAGGCUCGAAAAGGCUACAUAAAUGCUCUCAGUCACCCAGCUUGUGUGCAGCAGAUCCGGGAUUCAAAGCCAGAUGAUCUGGCUCUAGAACCCGAGCACGAAGUCCUCCAUGGUCCUCGUGGACCCAGAGUCUGUUCUAAACAUCCUGCCCCGAGCUCCUUCCCUAAGAUCACAGGCUCCAGGAUUUCACGAGAGCAAGGACAUUUCAGCUAAAAUCACUUUCUUUAGCACGGAGCCUCCUGGCAGAGUGAAGAUGAUACAAGCCUGAAACAAAGUAACGGCAGGGCAGGUACUGAGCCAGCGGCUAGGAGGACACAGCUCUGCUCUGUGUCCUGCAUCCCUGGGCAGAAUUGUCCCUGUUCCCCCGCCCACACCGGGCACCCAGGACACCUUGGCGUCCUUGGCGAGUGGGUCACACACUUGGCACCUGCCUGCUCGGGCGCAAAUCUACCCUUAGGCGCUAACACAGACCUGCGCAGUGACCGAACCCUGAGGCCAGGACGCCGCAGGCCCCGCAGUGAGGAGUGGCUCUCACACAGGAUUCGAAGGGCCAUCUGAUCCAUGGAGUCUCUGAGGGGGCACAAGGUCAGGACUCUCCCCCAGGGUCCAGGCUCUUCACACCCACGACCCCGCGUGGUGUGUGCAGGAGCUCAGUCCCUUCCCUGCAUCACAGGGACCAGCCGUCGCCUGCCCUCUGGGGACCCGAUGCCUGGAGUGGUCAGGUCGCUAGCGCGGGCCCCUCUCUCAGUUUUCCCCAAACGUUAACGAAAUCCCGCAUCUCCAGGGGAGAGACUGAAUUUCAGUGUUUCCACAUUCCUACCAUGAACAAAAGCCAAAGGAAACCCAGAUGGAGGAUGAUGUGGGUUUAUUUUGCUUUGUUUUCAUUGUGGCCCAAGAUUCUCUGGAAAAAGUGAUCUGUCUGAUUCCGAUGUCGGUAACAACUGAGCUCCUGUUACAGAAGCGAGGACCAGAUCUGCCACCAGGGACUGGCGUGUGGACCAGACAUCCCCGGGGGAAGGGCGCACACGGGGAAAGCUGAACCCUCCCUGCCCCGACACAAGAGAGGGAGGCCGGCAGGUGAAACUGGAGAACGGGGUCUGGGAAGGAAGCCGGGAGCUCCCUCUAUAGAGUCUACCUGAAAAUAUGUAGGUCAGGAACGCUAGUCUCCUGACCCCGGAGGGAAUCAAGGGGAGACUUAGGGAGCGGGAUGCAUUAGGGGUUAUCUGAGUCUAUCUCCCAAUUCCAAGCUCUCCCAGGAGAGCCGCUGCUCCCACGAAGGGGGACUUGCCAACCUGUCUCGUUAGCUGAGAGCUCAGCCACACAAAAAAGCCAAAUAAAUAGGCAGUGACUUUCUUUGGUUGAAAUUUUAAAAAUCCCAGAUGAGUUUGUGUCUCAGAGCUGCCGGUUCACCAAUUCUGACUCCACUGCCGGAUGUUUACAGCCUGAGAUGAGGAUCUUCUCAACAUCACGAUUCACUUUCCUUGUUGUAGAAUCAGGCUGCUGCCACCAGCGGUCCCAGAGCCAGCUCACAGGGCUGUGCUGCGUGACACGUGGCCUCCGCCACGGAGCGCAUGCUCGCAGGAUGCGCUCGCGCUGGGUGCCCACCGCCUCCCCAGUCUGUGAGUGUCCCCAACCCCCCGUGAGCCCAGCCCAGGCCUCAGCGCCCCGCAGGCAGCCUGCCCUCUGCUCCUUGCACUGUGCCCCGUGAGGCCACUCGGCUCAGGGCUCCCUGGGCAGCCCCGGGAUGGGGGACGGGUUUUCCUCUCCACCUGGGAGCAGAAGGCAGGAUGCGGAGACAUGCCGUCCCAUCAGCUUAUCCCCCAAUCAUAAAAGCCACAGCAAGUACCAUUAGCCACUCGUGCAGAGGCCAUGCGAGCGGCAUUGCUGCGGCCCUGCAACUGCCUCCCGGCUCUGGCCCCAGCUGCACGCUGUCCAGAGGGACAGUGCACACCCAGACCUCAGGGUGGAAGAAGAAAAGCGUGUUACUGCAGCCAGCAGAGGGGGAGGAAAGAGGACCCACCUGGCACAAUUAGGUCUCCAAUUAGAGCACACGCAUGUCUCCUCACUCCCAGCCCGCUCACACCUGCUCACACACACCCGCUCACACACGGAGACUUACAUGAGUUCAGGGCUAAAUUGUCUGUAUCUUCAUUUCGUGAUCUGUGGGACACCAGGCAGCUUCCAGCGGUUGGAUUUUGCGAGUUGUGAAAUCUAACCAUCGUGCAAGAAGUAAAUCUUUAGAAAUGAGAGUUAGACUGAGACAGCUCCUUCUCUCGCUACGCGGUUGGUGCUAAGGGAGGAUUGGUCAAUAAAA